GCUUACGGCCACCUACCACCCUGAGCACGCCCGAUCUCGUCCUGGAUCUCGGAAGCUAAGCAGGGUCGGGCCUGGUUAGUACUGGAUGGGAGAGCGCCUUGGGAAUACCAGGUGCAGUAAGCU
rnacentral:rRNA from 1 species